rnacentral:rRNA from 1 species
GAUGAACGCUAGCGGCAGGCCUAACACAUGCAAGUCGAGGGGUAGAAGGAGCUUGCUCCUUUGAGACCGGCGCACGGGUGCGUAACGCGUAUGCAAUCUACCUUAUACAGGGGAAUAGCCCAGAGAAAUUUGGAUUAAUGCCCCAUAGCAUUACGACUUGGCAUCAAGAUGUAAUUAAAGUUCCAACGGUAUAAGAUGAGCAUGCGUCCCAUUAGUUAGUUGGUAAGGUAACGGCUUACCAAGACGAUGAUGGGUAGGGGUCCUGAGAGGGAGAUCCCCCACACUGGUACUGAGACACGGACCAGACUCCUACGGGAGGCAGCAGUGAGGAAUAUUGGUCAAUGGUCGCAAGACUGAACCAGCCAUGCCGCGUGCAGGAAGACGGUCCUAUGGAUUGUAAACUGCUUUUAUACAGGAAGAAACCCUCCCACGUGUGGGAGCUUGACGGUACUGUAGGAAUAAGGAUCGGCUAACUCCGUGCCAGCAGCCG